AACGAACGCUGGCGGCAUGCCUAACACAUGCAAGUCGAACGAGACCUUCGGGUCUAGUGGCGCACGGGUGCGUAACGCGUGGGAACCUGCCCUUAGGUUCGGAAUAACUCCCCGAAAGGGGUGCUAAUACCGGAUAAUGUCUUCGGACCAAAGAUUUAUCGCCUUUGGAUGGGCCCGCGUUGGAUUAGCUAGUUGGUAGGGUAAAAGCCUACCAAGGCGACGAUCCAUAGCUGGUCUGAGAGGAUGAUCAGCCACACUGGGACUGAGACACGGCCCAGACUCCUACGGGAGGCAGCAGUGGGGGAUAUUGGAAAAUCGGCGAAAGCCUGAUCCAGCACUGCCGCGUGAGUGAUGAAGGCCUUAGGGUUGUAAAGCUCUUUUACCCGGGAUGAUAAUGACAGUACCGGGAGAAUAAGCUCCGGCUAACUCCGUG
rnacentral:rRNA from 1 species